rnacentral:rRNA from 1 species
GACGAACGCUGGCGGCGUGCUUAACACAUGCAAGUCGAACGGAAAGGCCCUGCUUUUGUGGGGUGCUCGAGUGGCGAACGGGUGAGUAACACGUGAGUAACCUGCCCUUGACUUUGGGAUAACUUCAGGAAACUCGGGCUAAUACCGGCUAGGAGCUCCUGCUGCAUGGUGGGGGUUGGACAGUUUCGACGGUUGGGGAUGGACUCGCGGCUUAUCAGCUUGUUGGUGGGGUAGUGGCUUACCAAGGCUUUGACGGGUAGACGGCCUGAGAGGGUGACCGGCCACAUUGGGACUGAGAUACGGGCCAGACUCCUACGGGAGGCAGCAGUGGGGAAGACUCCACGAUGGGAGGAAGCCUGAUGCAGCACCGCCGCGUGCGGGAUCACGGCCUUCGGGUUGUAAACCGCGUUCGCCUGUGACGAAGCGUGAGUGACGGUAAUGGGUAGAGAAGCACCGGCUAAGUACGUG